rnacentral:rRNA from 1 species
GAUGAACGCUGGCGGCGUGCCUAAUACAUGCCAGUCGAGCGAACAGACGCGGAGCUUGCUCCGUUGUCGUUUGCGGCGGGCGUGUGUGUAACAUGUGUAUAACCUCCCUAUAAGACUGGGAUCAUUUCGGGAAACGGGAGCUUAUCCCGGAUAAUCUCUUGCACCGCGUGGUUGGAUGGUGAAAGUCGGUUUUUGGGUCUCUUCUCGCUGGUUCUGCGCGGGUUUGUCUGGUUGGGAAGGUAAAGGGUUACCAAGGCAAGCAUGCGUGGGCGAGCGGAUGGGGUGGUCGCCCACACGGGAACGUAGACACGGACAUGAGUCCUGCGGGAGGCAGCAGUAGGGAAUCUUCCGCAAUGGGCGAAAGUCUGACGGAGCAACGCCGAGUGAGUGAUGAAGGUCUUCGGAUCGUAAAACUCUGUUAUUAGGUAAGAACAAAUGUGUAAGGAACUAUACACGGAGUGACGGUACCGAAUCAGAAAGCCACGGCUAACUACGUG